rnacentral:misc_RNA from 2 species
AACGCACCUUGCGCUCCUUGGUAUUCCGAGGAGCAUGCCUGUUUGAGUGUCAUUAAAUUCUCAACUGUUAUCAACUUUUGCUGAUAAUGGCUUGGAUGUGGGGGUCUAUUUUGCUGGCUUCUUCUCAGAUAGUCAGCUCCCCUUAAAUGCAUUAGCUGGUGCCCCGCGUGGACUGUCUAUUGGUGUGAUAAUUAUCUACGCUAUGGACAUCUGCAAUCAUAUGGGUUUGCGCUGCUUCUAACAGUCUGUUGAUUCAGACAAUACAUGACAAUUUGACCUCAAAUCAGGUAGGACUACCCGCUGAACUUAA